AACGAACGCUGGCGGCAGGCUUAACACAUGCAAGUCGAACGAUGUAGCAAUACAUAGUGGCGCACGGGUGAGUAACGCGUGGGAAUAUACCUUAUAGUGGGGAAUAACUUUGGGAAACUAAAGCUAAUACCGCAUACGCCCGAGAGGGGAAAGAUUUAUCGCUAUAAGAUUAGCCCGCGUGAGAUUAGGUGGUUGGUGGGGUAAUGGCCUACCAAGCCUACGAUCUCUAGCUGGUCUGAGAGGAUGAUCAGCCACACUGGAACUGAGACACGGUCCAGACUCCUACGGGAGGCAGCAGUGGGGAAUAUUGGGCAAUGGAGGAAACUCUGACCCAGCCAUGCCGCGUGAAUGAUGAAGGCCUUAGGGUCGUAAAGUUCUUUCGCCGAUGAAGAUAAUGACGGUAGUCGGAGAAGAAGCCCCGGCUAACUUCGUGCCAGCCGCCGCAGUAA
rnacentral:rRNA from 1 species